rfam:Danio rerio chromosome 7 genomic contig CTG751, GRCz11 reference primary assembly.
AGCCACAGCCAUGUCACCCUGCAGCCCAAGACCGGUUACUCACUGAAGCUAAGCAGGGCUGAGCCUGGUCAGUACCUGGAUCAGAGACCACUAGGGAACACUAGGUUGCUGUUGGAA